rnacentral:rRNA from 1 species
AGUGAACGCUGGCGGUAGGCCUAACACAUGCAAGUCGAACGGCAGCACAGUAAGAGUUUGCUCUUACGGGUGGCGAGUGGCGGACGGGUGAGGAAUACAUCGGAAUCUACUUUUUCGUGGGGGAUUACGUAGGGAAACUUACGCUAAUACCGCAUACGACCUACGGGUUAAAGCAGUGGAUCUUCGGACCUUGCGCGACUGAAUGAGACGAUGUCGGAUUAGCUAGUUGGCGUGGUAAAGUCCCACCAAGGCGACGAUCCGUAGCUGGUCUGAGAGGAUGAUCAGCCACACUGGAACUGAGACACGGUCCAGACUCCUACGGGAGGCAGCAGUGGGGAAUAUUGGACAAUGGGCGCAAGCCUGAUCCAGCCAUACCGCGUGGGUGAAGAAGGCCUUCGGGUUGUAAAGCCCUUUUGUUGGGAAAGAAAAGCAGCAGGUUAAUACCCCGCUGUUCUGACGGUACCCAAAGAAUAAGCACCGGCUAACUUCGUG